AAGCUGUUUCUUCUUUCUGCUUCUCGUGGGUGAAGUCAUCUAAGGGUUUUGAGGCUUCUUCUUUCCCGCCCCACCCGCACCAAAACCCAGAACGAUCUGGUCUGAAAAUCCACAUACACCAAUCCGCAAAUCUCCAAUCGUUAAAGAAAAAAUUCAUAAAGAUUUUUCAUGGCGUCAAAGUUAGUUCAAUUGCAGUCAAAGGCUGCUGAAGCUUCACGGUUUGUGGCCAAGCAUGGAUGUGCCUACUACAAGUAAUUAAUGGAAAAGAACAAGCAGUACGUCGUUUGCUAUCUUUGUGCACUUCUAUUGCAUAUUGAUGUUUUGAGUAUACAGUGCUUAAUCUUGUACAAAUUCUACUUUAUUGUGAGAGUGUUUUUCUUAUACGAACAAAUUUAUAUUGC